CCCCCAGAGGCCACGGGAACGGCCGGCCGACUGGCGCCAGCGCAGUUCACACUAAGCUCACACCGCGGGCCUGAGGUUCCAAGAUGGUCCUGUCCUCAGCGGAGAGGGACGCACUGUGUGCGUUGUGGAGAAAGCUGGGUAACAACGUGGGCAUCUACACCACGGAGGCCCUGGAGAGGACCUUCCUGGCCUUCCCCUCCACCAAGACCUACUUCCUCCACCUGGACCUGAGCCCCGGCUCCGCCCAGGUCAAAGCCCACGGCCAGAAGGUGGCCGAUGCGUUGUCCCUGGCUGUGGACCACCUGGACGACCUGCCUGGCGCCCUGUCAGCUCUGAGCGACCUGCACGCGCACAAGCUGCAAGUGGACCCGGUCAACUUCAAGCUCCUGGGCCACUGCCUGCUGGUGACCCUCGCCCGGCACUACCCUGGAGACUUCAGCCCCGCCCUGCAGGCUUCGCUGGACAAAUUUCUGAGCCACGUGAUUUUGGCCCUGACCUCCAACUAUCGCUAAACUAGGGGCGAAUGAUCGCGGGAUUCCCAGAGUUCCUUUUCUGCGACCAUCUGGUCUCAGUAAAGUUCCGGAAAAAAAGCCUCAGGCGCGUGCGUGCAUAUGUUCCUUGGGGCGUGCGAGCAAAAGGGUCCUGAAGGGAUUCGCGACAAGUGCUGCCCUCCCACCAAAGGAAGGGUGGGGAUCUGGAGGGACUUGAGCUGCACAUCCCGCCAAGGCUCAUCAGCAGGAGACAAGCGCCUGCACCCCCUCCACUGCUCUCCAUGGUUGCUAGCUUCAAUUUAUGUAUUUGAUUGCUCAU